rnacentral:piRNA from 1 species
AAGGGAGGCUCCGGUCCGCUCUGA